rnacentral:rRNA from 1 species
GACGAACGCUGGCGGCGUGCUUAACACAUGCCAGUCGAACGGAAAGGCCCCUUUGGGGGUACUCGAGUGGCGCACGGGUGAGUAACACGUGAGUAACCUGCCCUUGACUUCGGGAUAACUUCAGGAAACUGGGGCUAAUACCGGAUAGGAAUCCUUGCUGCAUGGUGGGGGUUGGAAAGCUUCGGCGGUUUUGGAUGGACUCGCGGCUUAUCAGCUUGUUGGUGGGGUAGUGGCUUACCAAGGCUUUGACGGGUAGCCGGCCUGAGAGGGCGACCGGCCACAUUGGGACUGAGAUACGGCCCAGACUCCUACGGGAGGCAGCAGUGGGGAAUAUUGCACAAUGGGCGGAAGCCUGAUGCAGCAACGCCGCGGGCGGGAGGACGGCCUUCGGGUUGUAAACCGCUUUCAGCAGGGGCGAAGCUUGUGGUGACGGUACCUGCAGAAGAAGCACCGGCUAACUACGUG